rnacentral:rRNA from 1 species
GAUGAACGCUGGCGGCGUGCCUAAUACAUGCAAGUCGAGCGAACGGACGAGGAGCUUGCUUCUCUGAUGUUAGCGGCGGACGGGUGAGUAACACGUGGAUAACCUACCUAUAAGACUGGGAUAACUUCGGGAAACCGGAGCUAAUCCCGGAUGAUAUUUUGAACCGCAUGGUUCAAAAGUGAAAGACGGUCUUGCUGUCACUUAUAGAUGGAUCCGCGCUGCAUUAGCUAGUUGGUAAGGUAACGGCUUAUCAAGGCAACGAUGCAUAGCCGACCUGAGAGGGUGAUCGGCCACACUGGAACUGAGACACGGUCCAGACUCCUACGGGAGGCAGCAGUAGGGAAUCUUCCGCAAUGGGCGAAAGCCUGACGGAGCAACGCCGCGUGAGUGAUGAAGGUCUUCGGAUCGUAAAACUCUGUUAUUAGGGAAGAACAUAUGUGUAAGUAACUGUGCACAUCUUGACGGUACCUAAUCAGAAAGCCACGGCUAACUACGUG